UCAGGGAAGAAGAUUUGACGGUACCUGAGGAAUCAGCUUCGGCUAAUUUCGUGCCAGCAGCCGCGGUAAUACGAGGGAUCCAAGCGUUUUCCGGAAUUAUUGGGCGUAAAGCGUCCGCAGGUGGUUAUACAAGUCAGCCGUCAAAGCGUGGAGCUUAACUCCAUACCGGCGGUGGAAACUGUUUGACUAGAGGUCAGUAGGGGUCACGGGAAUUCCCAGUGUAGCGGUGAAAUGCGUAGAUAUUGG
rnacentral:rRNA from 1 species